rnacentral:rRNA from 1 species
UACAGAGGUCCCAAGCGUUGUUCGGAUUCACUGGGCGUAAAGGGUGCGUAGGUGGUGAGGUAAGUCGGAUGUGAAAUCUCCGGGCCCAACCCGGAAAUGGCAUUGGAAACUACCUUGCUUGAGGGUUUGAGGGGGGAUUGAAAUACUUGGUGUAGCAGUGAAAUGCGUAGAUAUCAAGUGGAACACCAGUGGCGAAGGCGGCACGCUGGACACCUUCUGACGCUGAGGCGCGAAAGCGUGGGGAGCGAACAGG